CGCUAGUAAUCGCGGAUCAGAAUGCCGCGGUGAAUACGUUCCCGGGUCUUGUACACACCGCCCGUCACACCAUGGGAGUCGGAAAUGCCCGAAGUCUGUGACCCAACCUUAGGGAGGGAGCAGCCGAAGGCAGGUCGGAUGACUGGGGUGAAGUCGUAACAAGGUAGC
rnacentral:rRNA from 1 species